AAAGAAGCUACUGUAUUUCAAAAAUCAUCUUUCUAUCUACGACUCUGCUAUUUCACAUUGCGGUAAGUUUUCAGGUAUUUUCGUACAAACGAUAUUCUAGUUAUUUGAAUUUGUUCAAUACAAUUUAAAAGGUGAUGCAGUGAAAACCGAAUCCUGUAUAAACCGAAUCCUGUAUAAACCGAAUCCUGUCUAAACCAAACAUACCAUAAACACCGUCAUACCAACUGUAUGCGUUCUGAAUCUGAUAAAACUGAACAUCGGCCAAAACCGAACAAAAUCUCAAGUUCCGAAGAGGUUGGUUUAAACAGGUUUUACUGUAACAGAGUAUUCCAGCAGAUCAUUUCAGCUCAGCCGAAACGUCAAAUUUGUAAGACUAAAUAUACAAACUUUGCUAGCGAUGAAAAAUCGGAUUAAGUAAUAAUUAAGUCAUAUUUAAGUGUAUUGAAAUAUAAAAUCAACUACGUUAGCCUACGACAUAUGGCUUUGUUGUUUACAGCCUAGUAACACAUAUAUAUUCUGAAUUAGUUAGUCCAUUGUCAUGACUAUUCAGGUUCUGUUACAUAUCCAUUACAGAAAAAACUUCUCUGAAGUAUUAUAUGUUGAUAUUGCACAACAUAUACAUUUCUUUAUAUUACAUUAUAAAGAAACAAGUAACUAAGGUUUAUUUAACAAUAAGUUGUACCAAAUUUGUAAAUUUUCGGAUGUUUCCUUUCCUUAAACUUGACUGAAUAUAAAAUGUUGAAUUUCAAACACCUUUUUGAUAAAUUUGACUGUAAUCCUUUCAACAAUGACAUUCAAAAUAGAAAAACACAAAAUUUUAUUUUUGACAGUCCGAUUACCCGCUUCCAAUUUUAACACGUGAACAGUGAACUACAGUGGUCUUCAUAAGUAAUUUUCGUUAUCAAGAUAUUUAUGAAAAAAAAACUGUAAACCACUUCAAUGCUUACAACCUAAAAGUGCUUUCAUACAUCAUCCAAACCCUUAUAUUGGUAAGUUAGGAAUUUGGUUUAAAAACUGUUACAAGUUUUUGGAACUUGAAAUCGGAAUUCAAAAUAUAACAUUCAAUACAUACAUGCUCACUUCGCUAACUUCAGGUUUACGGUUCUUUCUAAAUUAUGCCAUAUUUGUAGACGAAACGCGCGUCUGGCGCAAAUAUAAAUUUCAAUCCUGUAUCGAUAAUGAGUUUAUUUCUAAAUAACUUGGAAUAUAAAUUCAUAUAGACGAGUUUUCAUUUCAGAAUUAUGAUGAAGAAUUGUUGUUUGAUUGUUUUCAUCUUUUGCACAAUUGAUGUGUCAAAUGGCGGCAGUAAGUAUCCUGUAUCUUUAAAACACUGUAGUGAAGAUUAAAGAUUAGGCUGCCUGACUCUGUCAUAAUAUAAACGGUACGAUCCUUUCACUCUGAUCAAACGUUCUGCAUUCGGGAGCCAAAAUGAGACAGACAGAGUUAGAACCUUUUUAUGUCACAGAUAUUCAAUCAUGUUAACACAAUUAUCUACAAUUUGUUUUUUAAAGUAAUUUUGGGGUACACACCUUCAGUUUACAACGAUAAUAUCAGUACUUUCGUCGAGCUACAGAGCUGUAAAAACUGUUCAACACUACUUUCCUAGGUUUUAUCUAAGAACAAUAACAAAAAAACUGUUUUUAAGAAGAACAAGUUUUUAAAUCUUCUAAGCAGAGUUACGAGCAUCUCGAGCAAAUUCCGAAAAUUUUAUUCAUGAGAAAUCAUACCGCAACAACAAUAUAUAUAUAUAGACCUUUUCUUAAAAUUAACAAAAUUCUUCAUUGUGUCCUAUAUUCAACAUGGUUAAGCAAAUCAAUUUGAGAAAUAAACUAUGACUUUAUAUCUAUAUUCUGAUUGUGUAAUGUUAAUGUAUAUAUAUCAAAGUAAAUCAUGCUAUAUUGUAUCGGAGUACUGUACUAUUCAGUUCUUUCUGGGAUAUGCCUCGCCUCCAAUGGUACCUGUGGAAAGAAAGGUGUUCCAUGUAAUGAGACAUUCGGGUCUGAAUGGACGUACAACGGGAAAUGCUGCAAUGACAAACCAUGUUGCAAAUGUAAGUAGACAAAUAAAGCAGGCAGUAGUGUUUGUCACUGUUGAUCAAAUAGAAUGAAUGCAAAGGAAUUUCAU
rnacentral:lncRNA from 1 species